rnacentral:rRNA from 1 species
CACGUAGUUAGCCGUGGCUUCCUCCUCAGGUACCGUCAUUAUCGCCCCUGAAGACAGAGCUUUACAACCCGAAGGCCGUCAUCACUCACGCGGCGUUGCUGCAUCAGGGUUUCCCCCAUUGUGCAAUAUUCCCCACUGCUGCCUCCCGUAGGAGUCUGGGCCGUGUCUCAGUCCCAAUGUGGCCGAUCACCCUCUCAGGUCGGCUACGCAUCGUCGCCUUGGUGAGCCGUUACCUCACCAACUAGCUAAUGCGCCGCGGGCCCAUCUCAUAGCGGAUUGCUCCUUUAAUUGCUACUUCAUGCGAAGCUACAAUCUUAUGCGGUAUUAAUCUCCCUUUCGGAAGGCUAUUCCCCUCUAUGAGGCAGGUUGCCCAGUGUUACUCACCCGUCCGCCGCUAGCUUUGUUCCGAAGAACUCCACUCGCUCGACUUGCAUGUGUUAGGCACGCCGCCAGCGUUCGUCCGUGUAGCCACGGAGUACAAACUCU